GUGUUCCUUAUAGCCCAACACGUUCUCACUCCCAACUCGUCAAACGUGUGACGCAUGGUCAGGCUCCCUCUGCUUCACUUAUGGACCAUAUGGACCACCAGGUACAGUACGUGAUAUCAAGGGCAGGCGGUCAUCACUGGGGGUAGACAAGAAGCAGACGUACUUCCAAGAGGGAGCUGCAGUGAGGUCAGAGUGUCUGCAGAUCAGCAUCAGUGUCCACGUGAAGAACCUAGUUAUGUUGCCAGUGUCAACCCAACAAAAGGUACUUUACCUUCUUGUAUAUAUUGUGAUUCCUUUACUUUUAUAUUUGUUGUUAUAGUUGAGUUAGGCAGGGCUUUUGUGCAGUCCUAAGAAACAUACUGCCUAGAGUGUUUUUCACUUUGUGGAAGAGUUUCUUUAUUUUUUUUCUGUUAGUGUGUGGAACUGAGGUGCUUCGUCAGGAGCUCCUUCAGUUGUUGGAGGAUGGAGAAGAGGACGCAGCCAUGACUUGUGAGACGUUGUCUGAGUCAGCUGCUACUCACUGGGCGAUCAGAAACAUGGUGUCCUUGCUAAAGUGGAAAGAGGCCAGGCCUUGUCUUAUAGACAAUAUGUUAGCUACUCUGGAUCCACAGUCACACCGUGUGUGUCAGUGUGGCAAACAAGUAGUUGUGAGGUGUCUGGACUGCCUGCCUCUUCCAUUCCUUUGUGCUGACUGUGAUAUUGCAGUUCACACACGCUUUGUCCUGCACAGCAGAGAGGCAGUAACAGGAGGGUUUUUGCAGCCUUCAUCAGAGUUUCACAAUCCAAUAUUUCGGCUGUUGCCUGUGCAAAGACCAGACUGUGUGUGACUGCCCAGCAGGUAACGUUGAGGUUUCACCCGGUGCAAUUGUGGCUCUUGUAACCAUAAAU